CAUACAACAGGAAGCCAGCCUCUUCUGCAUAAAGCCAGCUCAUGGGUCACCCCGGGUUACAACGCUACUUCAUACAUGAGAAUGUAGCCAGAUGAGUUGGAACACAGGAAACAGAGAGAAUAGAAGUAAUAUGCUGAUUAUUUCCCUCUCCCUCUGAUUGACUGCCUACCUCUCCGCGAACAGAUACAUGAACCAUCACAUCGAGCACAUCAGCUAUAAUCACUAAGGGCCUCCAUCUCUACUGCAUCCCCC